rnacentral:misc_RNA from 1 species
GAUGAAGAACGUAGCGAAAUGCGAUACGUAGUGUGAAUUGCAGAAUUCCGUGAACCAUCAAAUCUUUGAACGCAUAUUGCGCUCGAGGCUUCGGCCGAGAGCAUGUCUGCCUCAGCGUCGGUAUUACCCCUCGCUUCUCAACCCCUGGUUGAUGCCUGCCUGCCUUUGCAGUUGGCUAGAAGCGGAUCUGGCUUUCCCAAUUGCCUUUGGUAGUUGGGUCAGCUGAAGCACAGAGGCUUGAGCAAGGACCCUUAUUGGGCUUCAACUGGAUAGGUAGAACUGGUCUUAGGACCAACUACACGAAGUUGUUGCUUGUGGUUUUUGUCUGGAGGCCAGCAGGAAACCUUUAUACCUUCGACCUGAGCUCAGGCAAGAUUACCCGCUGAACUUAAGCAUAUCAAUAAGCGGAGGA